CGUACCUAAGCCCUAGGAGAAUCCUAUGUCGAUGACGGUGUGCAUACAUAAUGUUGUUCGUAAAUGACGACACACACCCGUCGGGCGAAAGGGAAUCCGGUUCCUAUUCCGGAACCCGGCAGCGGAACCGCAUGCAAUUCGGGCCCUCGUAAGAGUGUUCGUCGGGGUAACCCAAAAUGACCUGGAGACGCCGUCGGGAGAUCCGGGAAGAGUUUUCUUUUCUGUAUAAGCGUUCGAGUUCCCUGGAAACCUCUAACAGGGAGAUAGGGUUUGGAACGCGAAC
rnacentral:rRNA from 1 species